AGACUCCUACGGGAGGCAGCAGUGAGGAAUAUUGGUCAAUGGGCGCAAGCCUGAACCAGCCAUGCCGCGUGAAGGAUGACGGCGCUAUGCGUUGUAAACUUCUUUUGUACAGGAAGAAACGCUUCUACGUGUAGAAGUUUGACGGUACUGUAAGAAUAAGCAUCGGCUAACUCCGUGCCAGCAGCCGCGGUAAUACGGAGGAUGCAAGCGUUAUCCGGAUUUAUUGGGUUUAAAGGGUGCGUAGGCGGAUUGUUAAGUCAGUGGUGAAAGUCUGCGGCUCAACCGUAGAAGUGCCAUUGAUACUGGCAGUCUUGAGUACAGUAGAGGUAGGCGGAAUUUAUGGUGUAGCGGUGAAUGCUUAGAUACCAUAAAGAACACCUAUAGCGAAGGCAGCUUACUAUACUGUUACUGACGCUGAGGCGCGAAAGCGUGGGGAGCGAACAGGAUUAGAUACCCUGGUAUUCCGCGCUGUAACGAUGAUGACUCGCUGUUGGCGACGUCGGUCAGUGGUCUCGUCUAUACGAUAUGUCCUCACCUGGAGAAUACGGCCGCAAGGCUACUCUCAAAGACUUU
rnacentral:rRNA from 1 species